UUACUUUAUUAGCAUUGGAAGAAAUCGUGUUUGCCAUUAAUCCCUCUAGGUAACUACUGAGACUGACGCCUUUUACAGAUAUUAUUGCUUCUUGUGUCAAAAUGGUUCUGAAAUAGAACAGAAAAUUAAUUGUCCAGAGUAGUUUAAAACAAUGCGCUGCCUAAAGGCUUCUUGCUCCUCCCUAACAGGUUCAUUCUGUCAUCACCUUUGCUGAUAACACAGAACAACCCACUGGCUCAGCUGCUUAACUGCACGUACUUCUACACAUGAAACGAAAACCAAGAGUCCCCAUUAAGUCCAAAUUUUUUGGAUCAGUUAUCAGCUACCAACGUUCACCACACACAAACCACCACGUUCUUCUCAUGGGAGCAGAAAGCUGCGGCAGAACAUAAAGCAGAUGUUCCACCAUCCGGAAACAGAGACACUGUGCACCAAAGGGCUUGGAAAAAAACAGCCCAGAAGAACACACAAAACCAAGUGCCGGUCAUCUGCCCAUCACUAUGUUCAGAUGCUUCACAGCUAACAAGUACCAAAAACGUAGCUCCCUUCUGAGAAAAAGAACCGGUCAGCUAUAAACACAUCAUUAAUGGUGAAACAUACUGCUCUAA